UGCGCCACGGGAGAUCAUUUAUCUUUGCAUCUACGUGUUUUCCCUCCCCCUUUUUCUUCCGAUGGCGCUCCAAACAGGACUGGUCUGGACAACCACAGGGCAAGGUCUGCAAGUUGGACAGAAGGUACAACACGAAGGACAGCUCCCAGUGACCACCCAGCUUUGACAAUGGGUAUUGCUGAACUGAGACCUCUUACAUUGCUGGCUGAGGAUUACUUCCUCCCAACUCACCUUGCUUUCUUCCUUCGGGAAGCCUUCUAAGGAUAGUUCCCUAGAACUUUGUCCUCUCUCUGGGACUCAUGCUGUGGGUACAGGAUUGGCAUACUCUAUUGUGGAGCUCUCCCAGAGUGGAAACCAGGCAUCAGAGGAUCAUCAUUCUCCUGGGCAUGGAGGCCUCAGGUUCAUGGGAAAUGGUUUGGGUCAGGUCAGGAGGACACAGGCCUAGCUGACUUGAAAGAUCCUUUAGACUGGCUCCUCACUCUCUGCAUUCAUGGCCAGGUUCCUGUUGGACAUCUGGGACAUGGCAUUUUGUUGAUGUCCCUUGUUGUUGUUCUUUUAAUCCAUUUUGUGUAACCAAAUCUAAGACACAUUUACUCUGGAGAAAGGUAUGAUCAUCAUCAUCAUGUGCCUCGAAGUUAAUUCUUUUUCAGGGUUCUACAGGUAGAUUCAGAAUGGUUUACCAUUUGCUUCUUGGUGCCCUG